rnacentral:rRNA from 1 species
GAUGAACGCUGGCGGCGUGCCUAAUACAAGCGAAUCGAGCGAACAGACGAGGAGCUUGCUCCUCUGACGUUAGCGGCGGACGGGUGAGUAACACGUGGAUAACCUACCUAUAAGACUGGGAUAACUUCGGGAAACCGGAGCUAAUACCGGAUAAUAUAUUGAACCGCAUGGUUCAAUAGUGAAAGACGGUUUUGCUGUCACUUAUAGAUGGAUCCGCGCCGCAUUAGCUAGUUGGUAAGGUAACGGCUUACCAAGGCAACGAUGCGUAGCCGACCUGAGAGGGUGAUCGGCCACACUGGAACUGAGACACGGUCCAGACUCCUACGGGAGGCAGCAGUAGGGAAUCUUCCGCAAUGGGCGAAAGCCUGACGGAGCAACGCCGCGUGAGUGAUGAAGGUCUUCGGAUCGUAAAACUCUGUUAUUAGGGAAGAACAAAUGUGUAAGUAACUAUGCACGUCUUGACGGUACCUAAUCAGAAAGCCACGGCUAACUACGUG